rnacentral:rRNA from 1 species
UGGGUGGCAGACGGGUGAGUAAUGCAUAGGAAUCUACCUAGUAGUAUGGGAUAGCCACUAGAAAUGGUGGGUAAUACUGUAUAAUCCCUGCGGGGGAAAGAUUUAUCGCUAUUAGAUGAGCCUAUGUUAGAUUAGCUAGUUGGUAGGGUAAAGGCCUACCAAGGCGAUGAUCUAUAGCUGGUCUGAGAGGAUGAUCAGCCACACUGGAACUGAGAUACGGUCCAGACUCCUACGGGAGGCAGCAGUGGGGAAUAUUGGACAAUGGGCGCAAGC